GAUGAACGCUAGCUACAGGCUUAACACAUGCAAGUCGAGGGGCAUCAGGAAGAAAGCUUGCUUUCUUUGCUGGCGACCGGCGCACGGGUGAGUAACACGUAUCCAACCUGCCCUUUACUCGGGGAUAGCCUUUCGAAAGAAAGAUUAAUACCCGAUAGCAUAAUGAUUCCGCAUGGUUUCAUUAUUAAAGGAUUCCGGUAAAGGAUGGGGAUGCGUUCCAUUAGGUUGUUGGUGAGGUAACGGCUCACCAAGCCUUCGAUGGAUAGGGGUUCUGAGAGGAAGGUCCCCCACAUUGGAACUGAGACACGGUCCAAACUCCUACGGGAGGCAGCAGUGAGGAAUAUUGGUCAAUGGGCGGUAGCCUGAACCAGCCAAGUAGCGUGAAGGAUGAAGGCUCUAUGGGUCGUAAACUUCUUUUAUAUAAGAAUAAAGUGCAGUAUGUAUACUGUUUUGUAUGUAUUAUAUGAAUAAGGAUCGGCUAACUCCGUGCCAGCAGCCGCGGUAAUACGGAGGAUCCGAGCGUUAUCCGGAUUUAUUGGGUUUAAAGGGAGCGUAGGUGGACUGGUAAGUCAGUUGUGAAAGUUUGCGGCUCAACCGUAAAAUUGCAGUUGAUACUGUCAGUCUUGAGUACAGUAGAGGUGGGCGGAAUUCGUGGUGUAGCGGUGAAAUGCUUAGAUAUCACGAAGAACUCCGAUUGCGAAGGCAGCUCACUGGACUGCAACUGACACUGAUGCUCGAAAGUGUGGGUAUCAAACAGGAUUAGAUACCCUGGUAGUCCACACAGUAAACGAUGAAUACUCGCUGUUUGCGAUAUACAGUAAGCGGCCAAGCGAAAGCAUUAAGUAUUCCACCUGGGGAGUACGCCGGCAACGGUGAAACUCAAAGGAAUUGACGGGGGCCCGCACAAGCGGAGGAACAUGUGGUUUAAUUCGAUGAUACGCGAGGAACCUUACCCGGGCUUAAAUUGCAGUGGAAUGAUGUGGAAACAUGUCAGUGAGCAAUCACCGCUGUGAAGGUGCUGCAUGGUUGUCGUCAGCUCGUGCCGUGAGGUGUCGGCUUAAGUGCCAUAACGAGCGCAACCCUUAUCUUUAGUUACUAACAGGUCAUGCUGAGGACUCUAGAGAGACUGCCGUCGUAAGAUGUGAGGAAGGUGGGGAUGACGUCAAAUCAGCACGGCCCUUACGUCCGGGGCUACACACGUGUUACAAUGGGGGGUACAGAAGGCAGCUAGCGGGUGACCGUAUGCUAAUCCCAAAAGCCUCUCUCAGUUCGGAUCGAAGUCUGCAACCCGACUUCGUGAAGCUGGAUUCGCUAGUAAUCGCGCAUCAGCCACGGCGCGGUGAAUACGUUCCCGGGCCUUGUACACACCGCCCGUCAAGCCAUGGGAGCCGGGGGUACCUGAAGUACGUAACCGCAAGGAUCGUCCUAGGGUAAAACUGGUGACUGGGGCUAA
rnacentral:rRNA from 1 species